rnacentral:rRNA from 1 species
AUGAGCACUUUGUCUUGGAACUGCCGGGGGCUUGAGAACCCCUGGACAGUUCGAGAGCUUCGCAAGCUUGUGAAGCAAGAAGGGCCCACCCUACUGUUUGUCAUGGAGACGAAGAUUAGGGUCAAGAGAGUUGACGAACUGAAGCAUUCUUUAGGUUUCUCAGGUUGUUUUGCCGUUGACAGUGACGGGCUUAGUGGAGGUAUUGGCCUAUUUUGGUCAAGCGAUGUCAAUGUAACUUUGCAAAAUUACAGUGGUUCCCACAUUGAUGUAACCGUGAGUCAAGCAAAUAAAACCUGGCAUUUCACGGGCUUCUAUGGCAAGUCACGGGCUAGUUGA